rnacentral:rRNA from 1 species
CCUACGGGAGGCUGCAGUGAGGAAUAUUGGUCAAUGGGCGCGAGCCUGAACCAGCCAAGUAGCGUGAAGGAUGACUGCCCUACGGGUUGUAAACUUCUUUUAUAAAGGAAUAAAGUGAGGCACGCGUGCCUUUUUGUAUGUACUUUAUGAAUAAGGAUCGGCUAACUCCGUGCCAGCAGCCGCGGUAAUACGGAGGAUCCGAGCGUUAUCCGGAUUUAUUGGGUUUAAAGGGUGCGUAGGUGGGGUGUUAAGUCAGGUGUGAAAGCUUGGGGCUCAACCGUAAAAUUGCAGUUGAUACUGGCAGCCUUGAGUACAGGUGAGGUAGGCGGAAUUCGUGGUGUAGCGGUGAAAUGCUUAGAUAGCGCGAAGAACUCCGAUUGCGAAGGCAGCUUACUAGCCUGCCACUGACAUUGAGGCUCGAAAGUGUGGGUAUCGAACAGGAUUAGAUACCCUUGUAGUC